AAGACUACACUUUCAGGGAUCAUUUCUACAGUUUGUUACUAGAAGUUUCUCCAAAAGUGUAGAGUACCAAACACU
rnacentral:snoRNA from 1 species